rnacentral:lncRNA from 1 species
GGCCGGCUGGUGCAAGCAGGUGGACGACUACAGGAGGAAGCUCAGGAUGGCGACCGACGAGGUUGCCUGCCUUCAAAGGUAGUUAUCUGAAGGAGCCCAGUUCAUCCCUAUUCGGGAUCCCAACGAACUCCAAUCCCUGAGAGAAACCAUAGAAGAGCUAUCCGUCGCCCUUGGAGAGGGGAGGACCGAGCUGCAACAGUUGAAGAUCUAGCUGGUAUACGAGCAGC